rnacentral:rRNA from 1 species
UUAGAGUUUGAUCCUGGCUCAGAACGAACGCUGGCGGCGUGGAUAAGACAUGCAAGUCGAACGGGAUUUCAUUUGUAGCAAUACAGAUGAAAUUCAGUGGCGCAAGGGUGCGUAACACGUGGGCAAUCUGCCGAAGAGUUGGGGAUAGCUCGCCGAAAGGCGAAUUAAUACCGAAUGUGAUCAGGGAGGACAUCCUUCCGACAUUAAAGCCGGGGCAACCUGGCGCUCUUUGAUGGGCCCGCGGCCUAUCAGCUUGUUGGUGAGGUAACGGCUCACCAAGGCUAUGACGGGUAGCUGGUCUGAGAGGACGACCAGCCACACUGGAACUGAGACACGGUCCAGACACCUACGGGUGGCAGCAGUCGAGAAUUUUUCUCAAUGGGGGAAACCCUGAAGGAGCGACGCCGCGUGGAGGAUGAAGGUCUUCGGGUUGUAAACUCCUGUCAUUUGGGAACAAGGUGCGCGCGUUAACUGCGCGCGCAUUGAUAGUACCAGAAGAGGAAGAGACGGCUAACUCUGUGCCAGCAGCCGCGGUAAUACAGAGGUCUCAAGCGUUGUUCGGAUUCAUUGGGCGUAAAGGGUGCGUAGGCGGCGCGGUAAGUCGGGUGUGAAAUUUCGAGGCUUAACUUCGAAACUGCAUUCGAUACUGCCGUGCUUGAGGACUGGAGAGGAGACUGGAAUUUACGGUGUAGCGGUGAAAUGCGUAGAUAUCGUAAGGAAGACCAGUGGCGAAGGCGGGUCUCUGGACAGUUCCUGACGCUGAGGCACGAAGGCCAGGGGAGCAAACGGGAUUAGAUACCCCGGUAGUCCUGGCAAUAAACGGUGCACGUUUGGUGUGGGAGGAUUCGACCCCUUCUGCGCCGGAGCUAACGCGUUAAACGUGCCGCCUGGGGAGUACGGUCGCAAGAUUAAAACUCAAAGAAAUUGACGGGGGCCCGCACAAGCGGUGGAGUAUGUGGCUUAAUUCGAUGCAACGCGAAGAACCUUACCUGGCCUUGACAUGCAUCUCUAAGCUGGUGAAAGCCAGUGAGUCCCGAAAGGGACAAUUUGCACAGGUGCUGCAUGGCUGUCGUCAGCUCGUGUCGUGAGAUGUUGGGUUAAGUCCCGCAACGAGCGCAACCCCUGUGAACUGUUGCCACCAAGCCGUGAGGCUUGAGCACUCUGUUCAGACUGCCCUGUGAAACGGGGAGGAAGGUGGGGACGACGUCAAGUCAGUAUGGCCCUUACGGCCAGGGCUGCACACGUACUACAAUGCCCAGUACAGAACGAUCCGAGACCGCGAGGUGGAGGAAAUCUAGUAAAACUGGGCCCAGUUCGGAUUGGAGUCUGCAACUCGACUCCAUGAAGCCGGAAUCGCUAGUAAUGGCGCAUCAGCUACGGCGCCGUGAAUACGUUCCCGGGCCUUGUACACACCGCCCGUCACAUCAUGGAAGUCGCUUGUAGCCGAAGCCGGCGCGCUAACCGCAAGGAGGCAGCCGCCUACGCUAUGAGCGGUAACUGGGAUGAAGUCGUAACAAGGUAACC